rnacentral:rRNA from 1 species
AUUGAACGCUGGCGGCAGGCCUAACACAUGCAAGUCGAGCGGAUGAAGGGAGCUUGCUCCUGGAUUCAGGCGGACGGGUGAGUAAUGCCUAGGAAUCUGCCUGGUAGUGGGGGAUAACGUCCGGAAACGGGCGCUAAUACCGCAUACGUCCUGAGGGAGAAAGUGGGGGAUCUUCGGACCUCACGCUAUCAGAUGAGCCUAGGUCGGAUUAGCUAGUUGGUGGGGUAAAGGCCUACCAAGGCGACGAUCCGUAACUGGUCUGAGAGGAUGAUCAGUCACACUGGAACUGAGACACGGUCCAGACUCCUACGGGAGGCAGCAGUGGGGAAUAUUGGACAAUGGGCGAAAGCCUGAUCCAGCCAUGCCGCGUGUGUGAAGAAGGUCUUCGGAUUGUAAAGCACUUUAAGUUGGGAGGAAGGGCAGUAAGUUAAUACCUUGCUGUUUUGACGUUACCAACAGAAUAAGCACCGGCUAACUUCGUG